rnacentral:ncRNA from 1 species
UUAAAUGCGAUGAUGAGAAGGAGUACUUCAUACUGUUCGUAAGAGAGGAAAAUCCACCAGGCUGAAAGAUUUUCUCGAAAAAAGAUGAAGGAAUGUAGUCUCUGAUGCAGCUUUACUGAAUGCAAGUAGGUAAUAGCCGGUGAACCCGUUAUCUUUAUGAAUCAAGUGUAUAAGUAGCGAUACUUAUAAACAAAGGUGGUACCGCGGAAUCCAACCCUUUUCGUCCUUUAU